UUACCCCUUAAUAUUACCCCCUAAGAUUCAUCACUCCUUCUUUAUCAUCAUCAUCUUCAAAUAACCCAGAUCCAUCAUCAUCUUCAAAUAAUUACUCCAACAUAUUAGAUCCCAUCUGCAAGGUUAACUUGAACCCUAUCCACUAAAACCCUUCUUCACCAAACACAUAUCCAAACUGGGGAUCAAGAUUCUCACAUUGACUCAUCAAUGGCGGAUGACGACAUUGAAGAAACUGCCGCUCCGAUUUCUUCAAACCGAUCAAAAAAAGAAAGAGGCUCACACCGACGCUUCUAACAGGCCAAAAAGUUGAAGGUUCUUCAAUCAAGUUAAUUACACCUUGUAGAUGGGAUCUUUUUUCGAUUUUAACUCUGUAUGAAUUGGUGGUUGAGGUGGCUGGUGAUGACGACCGACGGCGACAAACCAGAGCUGCAGCGGCGGCGGGUGGCGGCGGAGCACGACGGCGACGAUGGUGGUGGGGUUCUGCUGCGACGAUGAUGGUGGUGGGGUUCUGCUGCGACGAUGAUGGUGGUGGCAGAUGACGACUAAGCAGCGAAAUGAAAAUUUAUGUAAACAAUUCCUAAUUUGUGAAGAUAUUCCAAUGUGAGUACUAUGGGGUUGAUAAUUUGUGCUUCAUUUCGUGAAGAUAUUCCCAAUUUGUGCUUCAUUUCGUAGUCUAAGUGGAAGAGUUGAUAAUUUGGUUAGUAAUUUGAGAUUCCUUGUUAUAACUAUGGGGUUGUGAAUCGGUGGGGUUGGUAGUGGUUGUUUAUAAUUUUCCAACCUGAAAGAGCUUAUUUUCUUGUGAUAUUCCAUUCUCAUCAACUCUACUUGGUUUCUAAGUUUCUGGUUAUAUUUUCUUUGUGUGGUAACUCAUUCUGGUUUUUAUAAGUCUGUUUGUUUGUUUGAUGUCAAAUGUCAUUAGUCCGAGUAUGAAUGCUUAUAUAAAGGAUUUAUAUGGU